UCCAGAUAAAUGCCCAGGAGUGGGAUUGCUGUAUCGCAUGGUAACUGUCCAGUUUUCCCAGCACCACUUACUGAAGAGACUGUCCUCUCUCCAUUGUGUAUUCCUGCCUCCUUUGUUGUAGAUUAAUUGAGUGCGUGGGUUUAUCUCUGGACUUUCUAUAUUGUUCCAUUGACCUAUGUGUCUGGUUUUAUGCCGAUACCAUACUGUUCUAAUUACUGUAGCUUUGUAGACUAGUCUGAAAUGAUGAUUUAGGAUUCUGCAUUUCUAACAUAUUCCUACAUGGUGUCUGUGCUGCUGGCCUGGGAACCACAUUUUGAGCAGCAAGGUCCUGGGUUUUUUUUGUUGUAGUGGGAGGCAUGGUCUCUGGUUGUGGGAGGAAGGUAGAGGGAGGGGGAGGAGCUCUGCAGAUGCCCCUGAAAUCCUGCUGCAGGAGGCAAUGUGGCUGAGACUGAGGCUUAGAAAGGGUGGUCUUAGAUACAGCAAGUGUUAAGACAUUAUUUUCAAAAUUACUAGAGGAUCUUUUUUUUUUUUUCAGAAAGAACUAUUGUGACAUAACUCAGAUAUAAAAUACACUAACUGUUUGGGGAAAUAUUUAUUUUAAAUAUCUCAGAAGCUUUGUGUUAAUGGAUCUCCCCACAAAUUUUCAUGAGCAUGAAACAUUUACCUGUCUCAAAACAUGCAUAACAACAUACAAUUUAAGUUUACAGUGUUUUAAUCAUUCCCUUUCUAUGUGUAUUUUUAGAUCCUCUAACAUUAGUUUAGGUAACACCAAAUCAGUAAAAUCUUAAAAACGGGUGUAUCAGGUUUAUUUAGCAUUUCUACCAAAUACCACAUUUCCAUGUACUAAUGUAUUUGUAACACAUUUAUGAAUACAUUUGUAUUAAUAUUACCUAUUUUUGUGUUGAUAUUAAGUCAGCGUUCCUGGGUUAUUAUGUAACAGUUGGAUGACAUGACCCCCGAUGUUGAAAUGGAGGUUAUGUUGCAGGUUGUUUCUAAAGGGAGGAAAGUUAUCUUGUACUAGAUUAGAAAAGUAUCUAGUCAUAAAUAUAUACACUCUCCGGC